rnacentral:lncRNA from 1 species
AAACCAUGGGCACCCUUGGGUCCCUUGGGGUCACUAUGUUACACCUGCUUUUUAUCUGUCUGGGCAAGAGCUGCUCAAGCCACACCUUGUGACACUGAGGUGAAAAGGCAGGUCGGGUGAAGAAGAGCAGGAUGUUUCAUUUUUAUCAAGCAUCACCUGAUUCAAAAUGUAGCCACUGAAAAGAAGCCAUCGUUUUUGGCCUGCGUCUCUGAGGAUAAGAUAGUGCGUGGGUGAUGGAUGCAGCCCAGCCUCAGGAGGACAACGUCAGAAACCAAAAGCUCCUCUGCCCAGGGAUGGGGACCCGCCGACUUCAAGGGCAGAACAGGAGAUGUGUUUGUUUGAGUAGAUCAGCUAUGAAAAUACCCAGCCGGCCUGCAGCCCUCCCGGCAGAUGCUGAAAAGGAAACCCGACUGGGAGAUGCCGCCCACCCUUAUCCCCAGAGAGCUGCGUUGUUUCCUCUUGCCUUGGCCUUUGGAUCCGGCCAUAGCAAGCAUCCCUGGGCACCUGGCUGAAGCUGGAAACUCGGGAUAAGAAUGGAAGCCCUGGAAGGGAAGAAGAACCGAGGAGAGGACAGCACAUUGCACUCUCACCUCCUUUGCAGUUAAGUGUGAAAUAGUGCCAAUAGAGUGUAAAAGAAAAGAAAGAAGAUGAUUCACCUCCCAAAGAUUCCCCACUGCUGUGUCCCUUCUAUCAACUUGAUACAAAAAAACACAAUGGCCCCGGGAACCACGUGUUGAAGAUGAGAGAGCUAAAAGAUGGAAAGAGACUGGAGCCCUGAGUCACCACCUGGAGGAAAACUACCCACCCAUCAGGAAUUUCUACUACACAUUUGGGAGUUUUUGGGGUUACAGCAGCUAAUUUAACGAAAACACCCAGAGACAAGAGCUAUUACUGCACAAAUUGGUUAAGUUACCUUUUUGUAUGUUUGGGUCCUCUCUAUUCGAUGAGACUGCGCGUUCCUUUGAAGCAAAUCUGUUUAAAAUUCUUAUAUCCCCAGAGGGCCUAGCAGAGAGUAUGCACAGAGUGAGCCUUCAGUAAAUGCUGAGUAAAUAAGCUCCUAAUGGAUGAAA